GCAUGUGUACGUGGCAUUAUCACUUACAGUCACCGUUUUGAAAGGAAUCACACGCUCAGGCUGUAGAUAGAAGGUAAACAGUCAUCCAGGGUCGAAUUCUGGCUCAACUAUACAACUACACUGAACCCCUGUUUAUGUUCCAGAACGACCUGCAAAUGGUGAAAAUCUGCCACGUGGAGACAUUUGCUAGAGGAAUGAAAAGGGGGAAAAUAGAUUACAGUGCAAGGGAGUAAAGAGAAGAAUGAGAAGCUGGAAACACUAAAGAGAGUUCCCCACCGUAGCAGAGCGGGCUGCAAAAAAGAAGGGCCGCGGGCGUGCUGGAGCAUAGAUACUGUACAUGGAGAAAUGGAUGGACAGAAAAAAAUGAAGACAAUAGAAAAAGCUGGACCGACCGACAGACUGAUCGACGGUAUUGAGGGACCGAUGGACAGACUCACCGUCGGACCAACGGACGGACGGACCGAAUGCCUGACCAAUGGAAGGAUCGACCGACCGACCGACCGACCGACCGACGGAUACUGUGGACCAUCGACAUCAAACAGCAGCAAGCAAUCCUAAUUAAACUCCACGGUAUUUAUGUCUUAAAGAGGUGAGUAAGGAGACAUUCCCAUUUGUUUGGAGGGGGGCGGAACUGUGUGCAUGUGUCUUUUAAAGCAUUGUAAGGAUAAUUUCACCAAUCAUCAGUCAUUUCAGUAUCGAAAAGGCUGCAAAGAAAAGCUUUUUAAAUAGCAGACUAAUUGUUUUAAUGGUCUGUUCCACUCCCGCUCUCUCCCCCAUUCACAGCCUCUGUUCUCCUUCCUCACUGUAUUCUAACGACCUGCUCCCAUCUUUUUGUCUUCUCUUCUUGCACACGGACACGCAUUCGUGAGCGACAGGUUGAUGAGAAGUGUUUCGUUUCUUUUGUUUUUUGUUCAUUCAACAGACAAAAGGUGAGAAUGCCCAAGUUGACGCCCCAUUACGAAGAUUACACACACUUUUCGAGGUGGAUAUUUCAACAUUUUGAAGGGGUUGGAGUGUGACAUGCAGAAGAGGCAGAGAGCAAUGACUGAUGUAGAGGAGCAUCAUUCAAUUAGUCACAACAUGCCAU